UACGAAGGGGGCUAGCGUUGCUCGGAAUCACUGGGCGUAAAGCGCACGUAGGCGGAUUGCUAAGUCAGGGGUGAAAUCCUGGAGCUCAACUCCAGAACUGCCCUUGAUACUGGCGGUCUCGAGUUCGGGAGAGGUGAGUGGAACUGCGAGUGUAGAGGUGAAAUUCGUAGAUAUUCGCAAGAACACCAGUGGCGAAGGCGGCUCACUGGCCCGAUACUGACGCUGAGGUGCGAAAGCGUGGGGAGCAAACAGG
rnacentral:rRNA from 1 species